rnacentral:rRNA from 1 species
UACAGAGGGUGCGAGCGUUGUCCGGAAUCACUGGGCGUAAAGGGCGCGUAGGCGGCCGGGUAAGUAGGGGGUGAAAUCCCACAGCUCAACUGUGGGGCUGCCUUCUAGACUGCUUGGCUCGAGCACGGUAGAGGCUGGUGGAAUUCCCGGUGUAGCGGUGGAAUGCGUAGAGAUCGGGAAGAACAUCGGUGGCGAAGGCGGCCAGCUGGGCCGUUGCUGACGCUGAUGCGCGAAAGCGUGGGGAGCAAAC